UUAAGUGCUUCUCUUUGCCAUUAUUUUAUAUCUUUAUGAUUAAAUUCUACAUUGCUAAUUGAAUGUGUUGUCAGUGUAAUUGUUGUAAUGUGCUGUGCAUUCUUUCUGAUUGCAUCAGGCUCCUAAAGGAAACAGGAAGAGACAGAUAGAAGAGACGAAAAGAUUCUUCACAGCAUAUUCUUUUUGGGAAAGUUAGACGAUCCAGAAUUUUCCCCAGAAAGUAUUGUGAGUAAUGAUGAUGAUAUCAGCGAAAUGUUGAAGGACCACUACCCUCAGCCUUUUGCCCUCUAUUCCUCUCAAGUACCCAAGCGGAGUCCAUUCUCAUGUGUGCUGGACGUGAUUGUCCACCUGUAUGGACGAAAGAAUGACAAAAAGGAAAUAAUAAAAAGGCUGCAAGACUUCAUCAGUCAACUUGGGUAUAAUAAAUCAAUGGCUCUGGUC